AUUGAACGCUGGCGGCAGGCCUAACACAUGCAAGUCGAACGGUAACAGGAAACAGCUUGCUGUUUCGCUGACGAGUGGCGGACGGGUGAGUAAUGUCUGGGAAACUGCCUGAUGGAGGGGGAUAACUACUGGAAACGGUAGCUAAUACCGCAUAACGUCGCAAGACCAAAGAGGGGGACCCUCGGGCCUCUUGCCAUCGGAUGUGCCCAGAUGGGAUUAGCUUGUUGGUGGGGUAACGGCUCACCAAGGCGACGAUCCCUAGCUGGUCUGAGAGGAUGACCAGCCACACUGGAACUGAGACACGGUCCAGCCUCCUACGGGAGGCAGCAGUGGGGAAUAUUGCACAAUGGGCGCAAGCCUGAUGCAGCCAUGCCGCGUGUAUGAAGAAGGCCUUCGGGUUGUAAAGUACUUUCAGCGGGGAGGAAGGGAGUAAAGUUAAUACCUUUGCUCAUUGACGUUACCCGCAGAAGAAGCACCGGCUAACUCCGUG
rnacentral:rRNA from 1 species